GCAUAUCAUAAGCGGAGGAAAAGAAACCAACAGGGAUUGCCUCAGUAACGGCGAAGUGAAGCGGCAAGAAGCUCAAAUUUGAAAGCUGGCCCCUUCGGGGUCCGCAUUGUAAUUUGCAGAGGAUGCUUCGGGAGCGGCCCCCAUCUAAGUGCCCUGGAACGGGCCGUCAUAGAGGGUGAGAAUCCCGUCUGGGAUGGGGUGCCCGCGCCCGUGUGAAGCUCCUUCGACGAGUCGAGUUGUUUGGGAAUGCAGCUCUAAAUGGGUGGUAAAUUUCAUCUAAAGCUAAAUACUGGCCGGAGACCGAUAGCGCACAAGUAGAGUGAUCGAAAGAUGAAAAGCACUUUGAAAAGAGAGUUAAACAGCACGUGAAAUUGUUGAAAGGGAAGCGCUUGCGACCAGACUCGCUCGCGGGGUUCAGCCGGCCUUCGGGCCGGUGUACUUCCCCGCGGGCGGGCCAGCGUCGGUUUGGGCGGCCGGUCAAAGGCCCUCGGAAUGUAACGCCCCCCGGGGCGUCUUAUAGCCGAGGGUGCCAUGCGGCCAGCCCGGACCGAGGAACGCGCUUCGGCUCGGACGCUGGCAUAAUGGUCGUAAGCGACCCGUCUUGAAACACGGACCAAGGAGUCUAACAUCUACGCGAGUGUUCGGGUGUCAAACCCGUGCGCGCAGUGAAAGCGAACGGAGGUGGGAACCCCUCGGGGUGCACCAUCGACCGAUCCUGAUGUCUUCGGAUGGAUUUGAGUAAGAGCGUAGCUGUUGGGACCCGAAAGAUGGUGAACUAUGCCUGAAUAGGGCGAAGCCAGAGGAAACUCUGGUGGAGGCUCGCAGCGGUUCUGACGUGCAAAUCGAUCGUCAAAUUUGGGUAUAGGGGCGAAAGACUAAUCGAACCAUCUAGUAGCUGGUUCUGCGA
rnacentral:rRNA from 1 species